AGAAUCAACGCUGGCGGCGUGCCUAACACAUGCAAGUCGAACGAGAAACGGGGUAGCGAAUACCCUGAGUAAAGUGGCGCACGGGUGAGUAACACGUGACUAACCUACCCUUGAGUGGGGAUAACUGAGGGAACCUUAGCUAAUACCGCAUAAUACCCACGGGUCAAAGGAGCAAUUCGCUCGAGGAGGGGUCGCGGCCGAUUAGUUAGUUGGCGGGGUAAUGGCCCACCAAGACGAUGAUCGGUA
rnacentral:rRNA from 1 species